UACAGAGGGGGGCAAGCGUUGUUCGGAAUUACUGGGCGUAAAGGGCGCGUAGGCGGCCUGCUAAGUCGAACGUGAAAUCCCUGGGCUCAACCCAGGAACUGCGUCCGAUACUGGUUGGCUUGAAUCCGGGAGAGGGACGUGGAAUUCCAGGUGUAGCGGUGAAAAUGCGUAGAUAUCUGGAGGAACACCGGUGGCGAAGGCGACGCCUGGACCGGCAUUGACGCUGAGGCGCGAAAGCCAGGGGGAGCAAAACGGGAUUAGAAAACCCCCGGG
rnacentral:rRNA from 1 species